GAUAGUGUGGCGCAAUGGCCGCGCGCUCGGCUUCGAUUGCCGUUUGUGUACCGAGAGGUUGCAGGUUCGAGUCCUGUCACUGUCG